rnacentral:rRNA from 1 species
UACGUAGGGGGCUAGCGUUGUCCGGAAUCAUUGGGCGUAAAGAGCGUGUAGGCGGCCAAGCAGGUCCGCUGUGAAAACUCGAGGCUCAACCUCGAGACGUCGGUGGAAACCGUUUGGCUAGAGUCCGGAAGAGGAGACUGGAAUUUACGGUGUAGCGGUGAAAUGCGUAGAUAUCGUAAGGAAGACCAGUGGCGAAGGCGGGUCUCUGGACAGUUCCUGACGCUGAGGCACGAAGGUCAGGGGAGCAAACGGG